UGGUGUUCUGCCUGUUCUUGUUCACCAGCAUGUGAAUGUGCUCAUCAUCAUCCUCAGUCUUCAGCAACUUUGGGAGGCUGGACUCUGGUGAGAUGCCACAUAAAGACAUUCUACAAAAUCAUCAUCUGUCUCUUCCUCUGAUUCUGAACUCAUGCUCAUGUUUGACCUCUAACAUGUCAAAAGAGGAACUCUUCCCAAGACUGGGGGAAAAGCCCAGUUUUGUAAGCUUAGCAACUGUAUACUGAGAAAUGGUGUGGAAGUAAGGAACAGCAGAAAAUGUAUUUGAGGAGAAUGACUUGUCUGAAUCGACGUGGUGAUGACACAGAGGAGGAACAGAUGGCACAGAGCUGCCCCUGCUCCAUUCAUCAUGUCCAGUGGAAACAAUGACAAUACCGCACUGGUUCUCAGCAAAUUACAGAGCUCAGCAAACAAAUCAGCCUGACUGGCAGAGGUCUUGGAAAAGGAAACUAAAAUCUGCCUUGCACUGCUCUAGAGGUUACAUGGCUAUGGAUCACAUCGCUGCUGAAAGAGGUCAGUAGAGAAAUGUCCCAGGAAAGAGAUUUUGCCUCUACCUAGAGCUUGUAAAGUGGGUUUUUUUAUAGCCUUUGGCUUGGCUGAGUAGCUCUGUUGGCAUCACUGGAUCUAGCUAGCUAAGUUUUUUUAUUUAAGAAGUAAGAAUUGAAGAAUCAACUUUAUGAGAAAUUUCCAGGUAAGGGUAUAGUAAUGGCAUCAGCUUUGUAAUGGCAAGAAGAUGGAGCAGAAGACACAGUGGGCUCUCUUGUGCUUGCUGCUGGAUUUUUGCAGGAGGCUCUUAGUUGCUAUUUAGUUAUUCUUUUUGUCUUGGUGUGAGUUUUUUAAUUAAUGUUUGUUUUGUCUGAUUAUGACAUUCUAGUCAGAUAUAUUUUAUUUUUAUAUCAGAAGAUAAGGACAGAACUGUAUCAACUGUGCAAUUUAUGAAGCCUUAAUCCUUUCCUUGCAAGGAGAUAAAAGUUGCAGGUGCUAUAAAUGUCCUCAGGUUAGGUACAGAUUCCUAACUGGAUUUCUUUAUCAUAUAUCAAUCAGAUAUUUGUAACAGACAAAAAAAUCUCAACAAUUUCCGAUGCUUUGAGUACUCAAAGCUUAUUGACAUCCAGAUGCAAUCAGAAAACUGGUUCUGGUAAUAUUGCCUAAGAACCCAGGCUGACAGCAUCUCUAAAAGCUUAAGGCUUUCAAG
rnacentral:lncRNA from 1 species